rnacentral:rRNA from 1 species
UUAGCUCAACUGAUGGGCCGUCGGAAAAACUGCAAAGCUAGGGAGUGGGAGAGGUAGACGGUACUCGGUAGGAAGGGGUAAAAUCCUUUGAUCUAUUGAUGACCACCUGUGGCGAAGGCGGUCUACCAGAACACGUUCGACGGUGAGGGAUGAAAGCUGGGGGAGCAAACCGGAUUAGAUACCCGGGUAGUCCCAGCUGUAAACGAUGCAGACUCGGUGAUGCCCUGGCUUGUGGCCAGUGCAGUGCCGCAGGGAAGCCGUUAAGUUUGCCGCCUGGGAAGUACGUACGCAAGUAUGAAACUUAAAGGAAUUGGCGGGGGAGCACCACAAGGGGUGAAGCCUGCGGUUCAAUUGGAGUCAACGCCAGAAAUCUUACCCGAGGAGACAGCAGAAUGAAGGUCAAGCUGGAGACUUUACCAGACAAGCUGAGAAGUGGUGCAUGGCCGUCGCCAGCUCGUGCCGUGAGAUGUCCUGUUAAGUCAGGUAACGAGCGAGAUCCCUGCCUCUAGUUGCCACCAUUACUCUCAGGAGUAGUGGGGCGAAUUAGCGGGACCGCCACAGUUAAUGUGGAGGAAGGAAGGGGCCACGGCAGGUCAGUAUGCCCUGAAACCUUGGGGCCACACGCGGGCUGCAAUGAUAGUGACAGUGAGUUCCUAAACCGAAAGGUGGAGGCAAUCUUCAAACGCUAUCGCAGUUAUGAUUGAGGUUUGCA